UAACAUCCUCCUGGCGCGCAAAUGGCCGCAGCCGCGUCCCCCGGGAGGCCCCAGCGUUUACCUAAUAACGUCACGUCGCUGCCUCUUCUAGGAAGCGGCCAAUUGUGUCCUGCGAGUCUUAUUGGAGCCACUCGCGAGGCUAUAUAAAGAAGAGCUUUUGGGGACAGGAGUCAGUCUGGAGCCUUAUUUUGCAUACCUCGGGGCUUUACUCAUCAUGAGAAGUGAACAAUUUCUGGUGCUUUCGCUCGGGGCGGUCCUUGCUGCGGCCGGGCCUGUUCCGUCGAGCGGCGCCUUCAGUCCUGCCGUGGUAACAGGAGACAGAUUAUCGCCCAUCGAAUCCCUGAAACGCUAAAAGGGAGGUCUUCCGCCAUAACGUUGCCUGACAGCUCCCACUUCCCCAAAGUGGAGCCUGCUGACCCCGAAGCCCUCGUGAGAUCCAAGAGAAACUCCUACUACGAGCGGGAUGACCCCUGGGGCAGAGACAGGAUGUACGGACGUCGUCGAUACAAGACAGGUCGUAGGAAAUAUAAUUCUGGUCGAAUAAGGUACUUCUACCAGCGAAAGAAACCCUCGAAGAACGGAGGACCUGAUUAUAACUACGAAGACUCUUCCCCGAAAUACUCCAACGAGGGCUAUGUCCCCAGGGCCGUCGUCAGCGCACCUCCGUCUGAGCCUCGCAGGUCCACCGGAGUUUUCGUCUCGGCCAGGUCGUCAGGAGUUGCCAGAGUGGAGGAGACCGCUUAAACCACACUUGAUUUAUUGAUAGUCCCAUUCCACAUACUGAGAUGAUUAUCUUUUGUUGCAGUGGGUUAUGGCAAUGUAAGUUAAUAUCUAUCUAUCGACAAAGCCUUCCACACAUGUAGUACUUCAUAUUCUCUGAAAAUUACUUACGUAAAAUUAAAUUAUUCAUAUAUUACGAGUUUUGCAUACCUUUAUGUACGGGUAUGAUAUUCUAUUCACUCUGAUUUUCAGAGUAUUUAUUUUUACAUAUCUCAUAAAGAGGCUUUAAUGUAUAUAUAUAUAGGUAAGACUGCAGUUUUAUCUCUGAUAUGUAUGAUUAUACGCG
rnacentral:misc_RNA from 1 species